CGAAUAUCCUUUUUUAUUCCAUGUGUUGUGUUUUCAUUUACAGCAUAGCUGUUCUCCUAACUUGUUCGUCCAGAAUGUGUUUAUCGACACCCACGACUUACGGUUCCCUCGUGUUGCUUUCUUUGCUCAGCAUAACAUUUCUGCUGGUUCCGAGUUAACAUGGGAUUACAUGUACGAAGUUGGCAGCGUCCAAGAUAAAGUCCUUCGCUGUUACUGCGGAUCUUCUCAAUGUCGUGGAAGAUUAUUAUGAUCUCAUCUUUACACUACCCUCCCACAGACUUGACCAAUCCCUGCCCCACCGUCCCCUCCCUAGUAAAGUCAAUUCACUGUUCUUUGGAGUACAGUAUAUACAUAUACCUCGAAUUCCUGGUAAAACGUAAAACGAUGUAUCUAUACGUACUUGGUAUUGGAAUAAACAUAUUUUGUUAAUGUU